rnacentral:rRNA from 1 species
UACGUAGGGUGCAAGCAGUAAUCGGAAUUAUUGGGCGUAAAGGGCGCGUAGGCGGAGAUGUAAGUCAGAUGUGAAAUCCCGGGGCUCAACCCCGGAACAGCAUUUGAAACUGCGUUUCUAGAGGGUAGGCGGAGAAAACGGAAUUCCACAAGUAGCGGUGAAAUGCGUAGAUAUGUGGAAGAACACCAGUGGCGAAGGCGGUUUUCUAGCUUAUACCUGACGCUAAAGCGCGAAAGCCAGGGGAGCAAACAGU